ensembl:snoRNA small nucleolar RNA SNORA55
GCACUCAAAUCUUUCCCAGUCCUGCUGCUUGGUGCCGGUCUGGGGACAGACGGUGCUACAGUAGAGCAGAGAAUAUCCAGACGGGUCGUUGCCCAUUUGUCCUGGGGCCUGUCCCUACAGCUCUGCCACACUU